rnacentral:lncRNA from 1 species
GGUGAGGUGCCAAGGGGUAUAGAGACCUCAGCGGGCUGACCUGAGCAACCAGAGCCCGAUGUUUCCAGAAGAGGAGGAGGUCUGGAGUGCAGGUUGUGAGCAAGCGAUGGUAAAGGCUGGAAGCUGCCCUGGAAAUGCUGAUUGCCUCCCUGAGUUGGGUGGGCUCCGGGUUUUCUUCCAUGGAUCUCCACUAGCCAAGAUUUCAGCAGGUAUUUCUUUCUAGAGUUUAUAUUGAGACAGCAAUAGACAUUUGUUUUCAUUUUCCACUUGUCAAA